rnacentral:lncRNA from 1 species
CACAAUAGGCAGUAGCAAGACAGCAAACGCCACUUCAAGACUGAAUUUCUGAAACUGGCCCUUUAGCUGAGAGUGGCCAUCCUUGCCGGGGCGGGCGAUUUACUAGUUUACUAACAUUGUUACCAGGCAGCAGCCCUGGCAGCAUUUUACUAAAUCCUCAACAAGAAAACUCGCAACUCGUCUGAAGUUUCAGUUUGUUUGUUGUUACUGGAGUUAUAUCAGGGAGUUCUUUUCUAUGCCAGACUGGAGUUCAGAUUUAAAUCUUGCCCAACUCAAAAGCAAGCGCACAGGAAACACGAACCUCGCCGCCGUGAGAGCAGCCUGAGUGAGCCAGCACUCACCAAGGAAAGGGCUGCAGGUUCGCUUGAGAGUGAGGAUCAGCCGAAUUCCUCACGCUGCUCACUGAGACUUCCCCUCACUGAGACUUCACGCUCCUCACUGUCGGCUAUCGGCCGACAGAAGAUCUCACAUCCAAGUCACAAAGACUCAGAACCUUCUUCAACAAGAAACGUCACUUACAACGUGUUUGCUUCUCCAUCUCUAAGCUCAAAGUGCCCCGUUUCUCUACAGCAAAUUAGACUUUUUGCCUACUUUGGUGCUGAGAAGCCCAAACUACCAACCAAAGCUUUGGUUUUCUCUGAGGGCUGUCGGUACAGACGAGAGGCCGGGAUUGUUCUCUAGCAACCCCUGCCGGUUGACAAUAAAUGCCAGAAACUGACCCAGAGGCAUUAGUUCAUCCCCACGUUGGAGGGAAGUAAAAAAUGUCAGGCUGAGGGAGAGCAGGUAGCACCUGAACGGCUAAAACGUAGAUACGUCCGUGACCCAACUUCAACCAACCACGCAACGUCAAUGACCCAGGGGAUGCUGGAGCAACAGGAAGGAAGGAAUUGAUUGAACAAUCACGUGGAGCAAAGCCACGUUGUUAUUUAGGGCUACUACUUAAAUCAGAGAUCAUCUCUGUCUUCUUUAAGCCACUUCAGUUUGGAGGCUUUUUGUUCUAACAGAUUUUCUAUGCAGGUACAGUCACAUUUAUGUCUUUUAAUAAUAGAGUUCAUCCAUCAUACAAGAUUGAUGAUCCCUGCAGAAGUUAAAAGUCUAGGAAUAAGAAAUUUGCACUUUAAAGAAGUCUUUCCUUUGUCUUACGGCUUCCAGAAUUCCUGAUGAGGAGUCUGCUAUCAAUCUUAUCUUGUGGCUUUGAAGUGAUAAUGUCAUUCUCACCUGUAAUCCCAGCACUUUGGGAGGCUGAGGCC